GUGCAGAACACACCAGUUAAGCCCGAAUCAGGAAGCCGCACUAAGGUGAGGCACAGGGCAGGGGUCCGUGGGACCCAGUAACUGAAGAACAGAGGAGGAUGAAGACAAACGGAGUCCAGGCCAUGCUGAACUCAGAUCACGCUGAGCAUCUUCCUAUUGCAGAAGCCAGCCAUGCCUACAUGCAGAAUUCUCGGCUCCUUCUCCAUGUCUGCCUGUGCACCACCAUGCUUCCUGCCCUGACGACAACAGACGAAAGCUCUGAAACUGUGAGCCAGCCCCAGAGAGAUGUUUUCCUCACUGAGAGUUGCCAUGGACACGAUAUCCCUUCACAGCAACAGAAGCCCUAACUGAGACACUUAUGUUUGACAGUUUCGUACAUAAAUCAUUUUUCCGUCAUUUUCAUACCUGUUUUUCCUCCCUCCCUCUCCUGCUCGCCCUUCUUCUCAAUAAAUCUCCCCUCCACCUCCA